rnacentral:rRNA from 1 species
GAUGAACGCUGGCGGCGUGCCUAAUACAUGCAAGUCGAGCGAACAGAUGAGGAGCUUGCUCCUCUGACGUUAGCGGCGGACGGGUGAGUAACACGUGGAUAACCUACCUAUAAGACUGGGAUAACUUCGGGAAACCGGAGCUAAUACCGGAUAAUAUAUUGAGCCGCAUGGUUCAAUAGUGAAAGACGGUUUUGCUGUCACUUAUAGAUGGAUCCGCGCCGCAUUAGCUAGUUGGUAAGGUAACGGCUUACCAAGGCAACGAUGCGUAGCCGACCUGAGAGGGUGAUCGGCCACACUGGAACUGAGACACGGUCCAGACUCCUACGGGAGGCAGCAGUAGGGAAUCUUCCGCAAUGGGCGAAAGCCUGACGGAGCAACGCCGCGUGAGUGAUGAAGGUCUUCGGAUCGUAAAACUCUGUUAUUGGGGAAGAACAAAUGUGUAAGUAACUAUGCACGUCUUGACGGUACCUAAUCAGAAAGCCACGGCUAACUACGUG